CCUACGGGCGGCAGCAGUUAUUAAUAUUUUUCAAUUUUCUUACUCCUGAACCCGCCCCGUCGCGUGAGGGAAGACUGCCCUAUGGAUUGUAAACCUCUUUUGUCAGGGAGCAACGCCGGCUACGUGUAGCCGGACUGAGAGUACCUGAAGAAAAAGCAUCGGCUAACUCCGUGCCAGCAGCCGCGGUAAUACGGAGGAUGCGAGCGUUAUCCGGAUUUAUUGGGUUUAAAGGGUGCGUAGGCGGCAUGCCAAGUCAGCGGUAAAAUCGCGGGGCUCAACCUCGCUCCGCCGUUGAAACUGGCGGUCUUGAGUGGGCGAGAAGUAUGCGGAAUGCGUGGUGUAGCGGUGAAAUGCAUAGAUAUCACGCAGAACUCCGAUUGCGAAGGCAGCAUACCGGCGCCCAACUGACGCUGAAGCACGAAAGCGUGGGUAUCGAACAGGAUUAGAUACCCUAGUAGUC
rnacentral:rRNA from 1 species